GCAAGGGAGGUACAUGUAUAGGAAUUUGAUGGCUUGCGAGUGACAGCACGAGCCGAAUUUAUUGCCCGUGGAAGUACCCACGAUAGGAAUACACUGUUGGGAACAUGGUGGCGCCGCUGACGGUACCUAUGUAAGUGGAAUUACUUUAUUGGAAGUACCCACGACGGGGAAAAUAGUCUCUCUAGUAUUGUCGGUGAAUGGCGAUGGCUACUUUCCUCUGCUCAGAGAGAACCCCUGCAUGUCCUUCGUCGUGAUGCGAAAGAGCAGUGGAUGCAGAAAAUGUCUCUACCUGCCAGGAUGGUAUAAGAGCACGAACUGAAUCACCUGUUGGUGCAGAAGGCUUGGAGGACUGCUUUUGAAACAGUUGUUCAAAUUUCCUGCACCUCUUCGUAGCCGUUGUCUGAUUUCUGCAUUCUGGGGAGACUGAAGUUAAGAAGCCCUCACCGAAACCAACACUACGUUGCUGUGUUGUUUUCUUCCAAGGUCGGGCACAGUAAAGGAGACGACUCUGUAUCAAGGCACUACCCAGAGGGAGGAUGUUGGCCUUCUCCUGAUAAAAAAAUGUCUUCUUUCUCAUGGCGUGGCCAGGACUGCACUGACCCUACCAUCCACUCUACCUCUCCGGAAAGGGACUUGACAACCAGUCAAGAUGGAUGUGCAGAGAUAUACCAGCGCUUCUAGCAUUAACUGCCAAUUUGCACUGACGCAGCAAGACUCCCAACAGUCAAAAAGAAUAAUAUAGACGUGCAGAAAAUGUAGGAGAGCGAUGACAUCAGAAGGACACUCUCAGGUUCAGGGUACCUGUACCGCCCCAAUAAAUUGGGUCAGAUCCCAAAACGAGGUUGGCCGAAGCAAAAAAAAUAGAAGAGCCUGCCUUGAAUUGAAUAUGAGGAAGAAGAAGAAGACAAAGAAAGAAAAAGAGUAGGAAUUUGCUUGUGUAAACUUUGUUUCCUCUGUCUAGGCUGCCAUCGCAUUAUAGCAGCCAACAGUGUGUGUGUGUGUGUGUGUGUGUGUGUGUGUGUGUGUGUGUGUGUGUGUGUGUGUGUGUGUG